ensembl:misc_RNA 7SK 7SK RNA
GGAUAUGAGGGCGAUCUGGCUGCGACAUCUGUCACUCCAUUGAUCGCCAGGGUUGAUUCGGCUGAUCUGGCUGGCUAGGCGGGUGUCCCCUUCCUCCCUCACCACUCCAUGUGUGUCUCUCUGGAAACUGCGUGCUUGGACGAAGAGGACGACCAUCCCCGAUAGAGGAGGACUGGUCUUCGGUCAAGGGUAUACGAGUAGCUGCGCUCCCCUGCUAGAACCUCCAAACAAGCUCUCAAGGUCCAAAAUAAUCUGCUGUAGUUCCAUCCAUUUCCCUGCAAAUGCCAUUUGUCCUUUCUAAUGGCUGCAUAAUAUU